rnacentral:rRNA from 1 species
AUUGAACGCUGGCGGCAUGCCUAACACAUGCAAGUCGAGCGGAUGAAGGGGGCUUGCUCUUGGAUUCAGCGGCGGACGGGUGAGUAAUGCCUAGGAAUCUGCCUGGUAGUGGGGGAUAACGUCCGGAAACGGGCGCUAAUACCGCAUACGUCCUGAGGGAGAAAGUGGGGGAUCUUCGGACCUCACGCUAUCAGAUGAGCCUAGGUCGGAUUAGCUAGUUGGUGGGGUAAAGGCCUACCAAGGCGACGAUCCGUAACUGGUCUGAGAGGAUGAUCAGUCACACUGGAACUGAGACACGGUCCAGACUCCUACGGGAGGCAGCAGUGGGGAAUAUUGGACAAUGGGCGAAAGCCUGAUCCAGCCAUGCCGCGUGUGUGAAGAAGGUCUUCGGAUUGUAAAGCACUUUAAGUUGGGAGGAAGGGCAGUAAGUUAAUACCUUGCUGUUUUGACGUUACCAACAGAAUAAGCACCGGCUAACUUCGUG